CGCUAAGUCUAGGGGGUUUCCGCCCUUAAUUUCGCAGUAAAUGCAUUAAGCAUUCCACCUGGGGAGUACGGUGGCAAGAGGGAAAUUCAAAAGAAUUUACGGGGGCCCGCACAAGCGGUGGAGCAUGCGUUUAAUGCGAAGCAACGGGAAGACCUUCCCUUGUCGGACAUCUUUGCCACUAUUAGAGAUAGGACGUCCCUUCGGGCAGAGUGACAGGUGGUGCAUGGUUGUCAGUCGUUCUGAGACGUGGGUUAAGGGGCGCAACGAGCGCAACCCUGAUUAGUGUCAGCAUCAUGGGCCUUAGGGAUACAGGGUAAUCGGGAAGGGGGGAGGUAAAUAUCAUAGCCUAGCAGUGUGUAACAUAAUUUCAAGCGGCUUAUGUCCCGGACCGGAUAACUUUACAAGCAAACGUAAAUGAACAAGGUUACCGCAUAAGUACCCUCUUUCCGCCUAAUGCAAAGUAACCAAUACCGCACCAACAAACCGCCUACCCGUUGAGUCGGUGACUUUCGCAUCAGACUAAGAAACCUCUCUGCGAGACGUUACGCACUAUAGUCCAGACAUCGCUGUCACU
rnacentral:rRNA from 1 species